rnacentral:lncRNA from 1 species
AUGGAAUGUCAUGAGUAAGGAACAGAGAGAGAGCCAAUAUCAUAAAAAGGGGGGGGGGGAGUCAGAAAUAAUGCUAAGGAGGCCUGAAAGAGAGAAGGGAUCCAAAUUAGAAAGAGCUUGAAAAAUUUUUUGGAUUGUUUUUUUUUCCCCCUGGAGGUAAUAGGGAGUCAUUGUAUUUGAUGGAGUAGGGGAGUGACAUGGUCUGCUCUCUAGAUAUCAAGUGUACUGUGGCUGUCUUUGCAAAGAACUGCAAGAUUCCUAACCCUGGAGAAAAAUAAUAGCAGGACUUUGGAUACAAAUUUUUUUCUAACCAAAGAAAAAGUUUCAAGUGUAUAUGAACCUCUGGGAAACUCAAUCUGGGCAGUUUUGAAUAGACAGUUUGUUUCUUUGAUCCAAAAGGAAAGAGAGAGGAGAUAUCUCACUAGAAGUACCACAUACAUAGGAGCACAAGAGCCAAGAGAUACUGAACUCACAAUUCAUGAUAGUCGAGAGAUGGAUACAGGAACUAGAAAGGGAUCAGUUGCAUCCUAG